CGUGGAUCUAUGUGUGUGACAGUGAAAAUAAAUUAAAAACGCCGUGAGACGGAACCUAAGAAGAACGGCCUUCAGGCGUUGAGGCGGGGCGGCAGGCUCAUCUGCCUGUGGCUGAGGCGCCAGGUUUGAGGACCCCGGAAUUGAGGUUACACAGAGACAAGAUGGCAGAGUAAAAGAAUCUUGAAGCUCACCUCCUAUCGUGAGUACACCAAAAUUGCAACUGCUGAAUAACCAUCGAUAAAAAAAUGUUGGAAUCUACCAAAAACGGGUAUUCUGCAUCCAAGGACAUAAAGGAGAAACCUGGAGAUGGUAGGAGGGAGGCACUUGCAAUAUAAUCAAAUCCCAUACCCCCCGAUGGGUGACCCACAAAACUGGAGAACAAUUAUAUUGCAGAAGUUCUCCCUUAGGAGUGAGAGCUCUGAGCCCCAUGCCAGGUUCCCCAGCUAGGGGUCUAGUACCAGGAGGAGACAUCCCCAGAGCAUUUGGCUUUGAAGGCCAGUGAGGCUUGAAUGUUAGGAGUUCCACAGGACUGGGAGAAAGAGAGCUUCUACACUUGCAGGGUGCACAGAAGGUUGUGUGUGCACCAAGACCCAGGGCAAAGCAGUGACUCCGAAGCAGCCUGGCCUGAUCUAACUGCUCUUCAUGGAGGGUCUCCUGGGGAACGGAGGUUGGUGGUGGAUGGAGUGCUCUGACUCCCUUUGGGGUCAUAAAAGCUGGUGGCAGGUAUAUGGGGGAGGGUUCAUCUCUCUGAACUCUUGCUAGAGGCAGACAUCUUGCUUGGGUCAUUAGCACCAAGACCUGGUCCUGCCCAACGGCUUAUAAGCUCCAGUGCUGGGACACCUCAGGCCAAACAACCAAUAGGGUGGGAACAAAGCCCCAGCCAUCAUCACACAGGCUGCCUAAUAAAGACUUCCUGACCUACAUCCACCUCUAGACAGGCCCCUUGACAGGGCCGUGCCUACCAGAAGGCCAAGACCUGGCUCUACCCAACAGUGGGCAGACACUAAUCCCUCCAACCAAGAAACCUAUACAAGCCUCUAGACCAGCCUCAGCCAUUAGGGGGGCAGACACUAGAAGCAAGAAAAUUAUGAUCCUGCAGGCUGCAGAACUGAGUCUGCAACACAGGUCAGAACCUACCCUGGGACCAGCUGGUCCUUGGCCCUUGGGUGAUGAGAGGAGAAUGCACUGCUGGGAUACACAGGACAUCCCCCACAGAGAGCAACUUCUCCAAGGUUGAGAAACAUAACUAAGCUACUCCAAAUGUGUAAAAAUACAAAUAGAAACUUAAACAAAAUGAGAUGGCAAAGGAAUAUGUUCUAAAUGAAAGAACAAGAUAAAACCCCAGAAAAACCACUAAGUGGAGAUAGGCAGUCUACCCAAGAAAGAAUUCAGAGUAAUAAUGAUUAUAAAGAUUAUCCAAGAAUUCAGGAAAGAAUGGAUACACAGCAAGAAGGUAAAAGUUUGUUUUUUUCAGAGAGAUAGAAAAUAUAAAGAACAACCAGAGUUGAAGAGUACAAUAAAUGAAAUGAGAAAUAACUGGAAGGUCACCAUCACCCUGAUAUUAAAACCAAAGAUAUCACAAAAGAAAAUUACAUGGCAGUAUCACUGAUAGCAAAGGCACAGAAAUCCUCAACAAAAUACUAGCAUACCAAAUCCAACAUUACAUUAAAAGGAUCAUACACCAUGAUCAAGUGGUAUUUAUGCCAGGGAUGCAAGAAUUUUUCAUUGAGUCAAUGUGAUAUAUACCACAUUAGCAAAUUUAAGAAUAAAAACCACAUCUCAAUAGA